rnacentral:rRNA from 1 species
UUUCCCUCAGGAUAGCUGGCACUCGCUUGAGCGAGUCUCAUCUGGUAAAGCGAAUGAUUAGAGGCCUUGGGGCCGAAACGACCUCAACCUAUUCUCAAACUUUAAAUGGGUGAGAUCUCUGGCUUGCUUGAACAUUGAAGCCAUGAGAUUUUCUUAAUAAAAGGAUCAGAGUGCCAAGUGGGCCAAUUUUGGUAAGCAGAACUGGCGCUGUGGGA